rnacentral:rRNA from 1 species
GACGAACGCUGGCGGCGCGCCUAACACAUGCAAGUCGAACGAGAGAGGAAGAGCUUGCUUUUCCGAUCGAGUGGCGAACGGGUGAGUAACGCGUGAGGAACCUGCCUCAAAGAGGGGGACAACAGUUGGAAACGACUGCUAAUACCGCAUAAGCCCACGGCUCGGCAUCGAGCAGAGGGAAAAGGAGCAAUCCGCUUUGAGAUGGCCUCGCGUCCGAUUAGCUAGUUGGUGAGGUAAUGGCCCACCAAGGCGACGAUCGGUAGCCGGACUGAGAGGUUGAACGGCCACAUUGGGACUGAGACACGGCCCAGACUCCUACGGGAGGCAGCAGUGGGGAAUAUUGCACAAUGGGGGAAACCCUGAUGCAGCGACGCCGCGUGGAGGAAGAAGGUCUUCGGAUUGUAAACUCCUGUUGUUGAGGAAGAUAAUGACGGUACUCAACAAGGAAGUGACGGCUAACUACGUGCCAGCAGCCGCGGUAAAUACGAGAGUA